UACAAACACUGGGAGGCCUUCUCUUUCCAGUUCUUCCUGAAGUCGGGAAAGGCUGAGUUGGGGGGUGGGGGAGGAAUACAUU
rnacentral:pre_miRNA from 12 species